rnacentral:lncRNA from 13 species
AUGGAAAUUGUUUUGAAUGGGGUUAAAAACAAAGAUGAGCAUUCUCAUUGGAUAAGGGUAGGCACGUCCUCCCUUUCCAUCCGUUUUGCCACUGUUAUGUUGUGUCUGUUGUGUAUCACCCAACAUUCACUUCUUGAUGGACACUCUGGCUAUGCGGAAAUCGAUUCCUCUAUCGGCACUGCCUGCUAUGCAGUCAAUCUCAUCCUCAGUCUCCCCACCAAUGUCUACGUCCUGUGGCUGAUAGUGACCGGAGCGGGAGAAACGAUGACCUCAGAGUUCUUCGCUCUCAACCUGGCCAUCUCUGAGAUCCUCUGCUGCCUGUGUGCUGUCUUCUUCUUUGUCUACAUACACCUCCCUAUUCCCCCUCUCCAAGCUCUAGUGUCAUUCUGUGGUGGUUUUCCCAUCUUUGGUCGGACCCUGUUCCAGUGCUGUAUAUGUUUUGAACGUUACCUGGCGGUGGUCCACCCUGUUGUCUUCCUGAAGUACAAACUCCUCAGAUACAAGGUGGUAUGUUCUGGGUUAAUCUGGUUGGUUGUGACCGUGUUCUGUCUUACUUUUAUGCUGGCGAAGAGCCUAAAUGUUAUAUAUUUUGUGUCUUUGAGUGGAAUUAUGUUCUUCAUUUCAUUCAUGUUAUUCUGCUGUCUCUCAGUUCUCAGGGCUCUGAAACGUCCAGGGCCGGGGGAAGGGGAGAGGGAGGGGACAAAUAACAUGAAGAUAAGGGCGUUUAAUAUCAUUUUGAUUAUUAUGGUGGCUAUGAUGGUGAACUGUCUCCCAUGGGUAAUGAUUUUACCUUUCAUUGGAAUCUUAGAUUUGAGGAAGUUCAUAUCAGCCAUAUAUGUUUGUGUCUUCAUCGGUGUGGUCUGUGGGAUUGUGCAGCCCCUCCUCUACCUCCACAGGGCUGGGAAACUGCCCUGUAUCAGAGGUCUUUAAGAGAGUUGAUACUCAAAGUUUCACCUUAUACAGAUGGCCAGUUGUAACCUGUUUGUUUCCACCUGUUAAUUGAUAGCUUGUAAAGAGGUUGAUAAGCUUGUUAAGAGGUUGAUAGUUGUUGAUUCUCUGGCAAAAAUGUGUACGUGUUUUGAUAAGGGUUGCAAAAGUACGGAAAUGUCCCCUAAAUUCCCAAGUUUUCCCGAAAUCCUGUUCAGAAGAUUCCUGGCAUGAGGAAAGAAUAAGCAGGAAAUCUGGAAUUUUACAAGUCUUGGUUUGAUGUAUUCCCUCGUAUAUGGGAAGAUUACCUAUCAAUCUUCUUGCUUCACAUUGCACCUUUAUGUAUGAAAGCUAUUUAUUAGUGACAUGGAAUGAUAAGACUUACUUUGUUUGGUUAAAACUUGUUUUCAUGUUCACUACAUCUUUUUGAAUGUUUUGAAUCCUUCACAGUUAAUAAAUAUGUGUGCAGAACUACUCAUGUAGCUGUCGUUUUCUUUGUGUAGAGCAGAGAAAUUCAGCCAGUGAUACAGUCAGGAAAUGUAAAAACAAAUGUCUCUUAGCUGUCUCUGGGUCCAGUCAGAGAGGAAACAGGCUAUGUACAUGCAGUAGGGGUGCGUGGAUAAAAU